rnacentral:tRNA from 2 species
GCCGAAGUGGCGGAAUGGUAGACGCACGGGACUCAAAAUCCCGCGGUAGAAAUACUGUGUCGGUUCGAGUCCGAUCUUCGGCACCA